rnacentral:rRNA from 1 species
UUGAAAGGGAAACGAUUGAAGUCAGUCGGACCAGCGGGAAUCAACCUUUCGNNUGGGGNNUUGGAGUUUUGAAGAGUGUCAAAACCUUUGAGAUUUCAAAAUUUUCGCUCCUUUGGUGUACUUUCUCGUGGGUAGGUUAACAUCGAUUUCGAUCAUCAUAAAAGGAUUGGAGGAAUGUAGCUUCGAUCUUGUAUUGAAGUGUUAUAGCCUUUGGUAAAUGUGAUGAUUGGGAUCGAGGAUUGCAACGAAUACCCUUUUGGGCUAUCCGCCUGAUCUCUGAUACGUGGCCUUGGCAUCGAAAGCUUGCUUAUGGUGUCAAGGUAUUACGGUCAAAAGGUUAGAACGGAUUACAUUCGUUAAGGAUGUUGACGUA